GGGGUCCUUCUCUCCUGGGACCUCAAGAACGGACCUUUCCUUAGAUGACCCUAGAGACUGGCUUUCCAGGCAAGUCUCAGAAACCCAAAUCCUGGGGCCCCAUCUCCUCCCAUUCAGGACUCUGGGAAGUCUAGGAUCCCAGCUCUCCUUAUCUAGGAAGAGAGGGGUCUGCACCCCCCAGCGCACGACCUAGGGGAACCUCAAGAGGGCAGAAGAAGACACUGAGUCACCUCUAACUGAAGAUAUGUGGAUGUUGGGAAUUGAACCUGAGUCCUUUGGAAGGGCAGCAACUGCUUUCAACAAUUAACCACUGGACAUCUCUCCAGUCCCCAAUU